AUAGAGGCAGGUGUUUAGGUGGCUGAGGUUGCCAGGGCUACGCGGCUUGUCUUCCAUGACCGAUCAGCACAGUGAGAAAAAGCAGGGACAUGAUGUCCUGGCUUACUGCACAAGAAUCAUUCUAGAAGGGCAAAGCAACGAACAGGAGAACAUUUCUUUCUUUCAUGAAACCAUUCGGUGCCAGACACUCUGGAAGAUCAGCAUGCCUGUUGCUAGCUAUUGGUGUCCAAAACACUUCAGUCAGUGCAGUGAGAAGGUUGAGUGACAACCCCUUCCUAGUAUACCACUUUUGAACAGGACAGUGUGGAACAGCUCGGUAUGGUGAUCAGUUUGAUUCCUUGUCCUACUUGUACUCUGUAAUUGAGUAAUGGCUCACUGCGAUGAAGGACUCCAAAUCUGACUGCCAGAACAUGGCCAUAACUCAUCCUUGAUGAGACUGCUCUCUCACAGCAGCUUACAGAUACGACAAAUUUAAUUGGUACAUAAGCAGCAUGCAAGAACAUUUCAGCACAACCUAUUAAUUUAUAUAGUAUUUAUAGUACUUGUUUGCUUGUUAUUAUGCAGUUUCAGCCUAACUAACUAGACAAUUUAAAAUGUGUUUGUCUGACUAAUUCUAGCUCAAUAUAUAACGUUUUAGAUCUUAGAUUGGCAUUCGUAGUACCCUGGUAAGAAGGAAAAACAAAUCAAGCACUUUUUACAUAGAUUAAGUUGUAGAUUAUUAAUGACAAAAUUUUCAACCCAAGACUUGUAACUGUAAUCUUGCUGUACAUUAAUGUCUCGAGGAUAAACAUUAGGGCAUUUCACACUGCACUUAACCACGGGUUAACGGCAUUCUAAACCCUGCUCAUAACCCCAGGUAGAGGGAAUUUCACACUUAUAUUUUAGAAGCAGGUUUAGGAUCGCUUUUUACCCGGGGUUCUGAAAUCCUGCUCCGAAGCAGCGUUAGCAUAGCUUUUGUGGUAUUAACCCCUCAUUGCAGUGCCAUAUAUGUAUAGUGUGAAACUAUGCGGUGUUCGAAUGUGCUAGAAAUAGCAACAGACACCCAAAUAGAAAUUGAACAGUGCAUUCCUCAUAUCAGUAAUAGUUAACCCAGGUUUAGGAUUGUACUGUCUGAAACGUCAGAUUAUGAAUACCCAAGACUAAUUUUUAGCCCUGUGUAAAGUAUGAGCAGUGUGAAACGGGAAACAAGACAACCCAGGAUUCCGUUUACCUGGGGUUUAGAAUGACAGAGGGUUAACUAUUUCAAGUGUGAAAAGCCCGAUUGAGAGUUUCCACAGAUUUCUGGGCCCUGUUUGAAUUCCCAUGUUUUGAAAGCAGAAAAUUAACUUUAACCUUUAACGUAACUACCCUGAAUAGUCAGAUACACGAUUCCCCCCACCUACAGUGACAUCCCUGAACUUUGAUGUGAGUGCCAGGUGG
ensembl:lncRNA